UCUUCUUCCUUUGUCUUUUUAAAGGUAUGCUUUUGUGGUGAGGAAGAUUGGCCCUGAGCUAGCAUCUGUUGCUAAUUUUCCUCCUUUUUUUGUCUCUCCCCACAGGCCCAGCACAUAGUUGUAUGUCCUAACUGUGAGUCCUUCUAGUUCUAUGUGGGAUGCCGCCACAGCAUGGCUUGAUGAGCAGUGUGAAAGUCUGCACCCAGGAUCUGAACCGGCGAACCCUGGGCUGCCAAAGUGGAUCACAUGAACUUACCAUCAUGCCACAGGGCCAGCCCCAACAUUUCUGAAAUAGGAUGCGGUAGUUCUGUGAUCAGGAGUCUACUUUGGAUUACAGAAGGUGUGAAGACGACAGCACAUCCUCUGCUCCCCAGAUACACAUAGGCCGAGACACAGAUAAAAGGUACUGCAACCAAGACCCGUGGUGCAUCUAUAUAUGAAAAGAUUUUGUUACCAGAUUAUUGAAGCAGAUAAGAAAUUACCCAAGAGUGGAAAGAGCUUUUUGAUUGUCAUGGUUAAAAAGAUUUUCACUGCCCUAGGAUUGGGAGAUGGGACCAGUUCUGACAUGGAUUGCAUGAGACUCUUGACAACAUGUGGAGGCCCAUACUAUGAAGAAUAAAGGGUAAAAAUGAAGGUUAUUUUCAUUUUGAGCUG
rnacentral:lncRNA from 1 species